UGGGGAAUCUUCCGCAAUGGGCGAAAGCCUGACGGAGCAACGCCGCGUGAAUGAAGAAGGCCUUCGGGUCGUAAAGUUCUGUCUUUUGGGAAGAAGUCUCUUUGGGUAAAUAAUCCAAAGAGGUGACGGUACCAGAGGAGGAAGCUCCGGCUAACUACGUGCCAGCAGCCGCGGUAAUACGUAGGGAGCAAGCGUUGUCCGGAAUUACUGGGCGUAAAGGGCGCGUAGGCGGGUAUUUAAGUCAGAUGUGAAAACUCCGGGCUCAACUUGGAGACUGCAUUUGAAACUGGGUAUCUUGAGGGCAGGAGAGGAAAGUGGAAUUCCUAGUGUAGCGGUGGAAUGCGUAGAUAUUAGGAGGAACACCAGUGGCGAAGGCGACUUUCUGGACUGUACCUGACGCUGAGGCGCGAAAGCAUGGGGAGCAAACGGG
rnacentral:rRNA from 1 species